AGCAGCCGCGGUAAUUCCAGCUCCAAUAGCGUAUAUUAAAGUUGUUGCAGUUAAAAAGCUCGUAGUUGAAUUUUAGGCCUGGCCGGGCGGUCCGUCUUUGGCGAGUACUGUCUUGUUGUCGGGUCUUCCUUCUGGUGAACCAGUAUGUCCUUUAUUGGGUGUGUUGGGGAGCCAGGACCAUUACCUUGAAAAAAUUAGAGUGUUUAAAGCGGGCUAUUGCUUGAAUAGAUUAGCAUGGAAUAAUAGAAUAGGACGUUGUGGUUCUAUUUUGUUGGUUUCUAGGACCACCGUAAUGAUUAAUAGGGAUAGUUGGGGGCAUUAGUAUUCAAUUGUCAGAGGUGAAAUUCUUGGAUUUAUUGAAGACUAACUAUUGCGAAAGCAUUUGCCAAGGAUGUUUUCAUUAAUCAAGAACGAAAGUUAGGGGAUCGAAGACGAUCAGAUACCGUCGUA
rnacentral:rRNA from 1 species